UCCGACGGGGGCUCUCUUUUUUCGGCCUUACUGGGCGUAAAGGGCGCGUAGGCUGUGCUGUAAGUCAGGCGUGAAAUCCCCGGGCUCAACCUGGGAAUUGCGCAUGAUACUGCGGCGCUUGAAGACGGGAGAGGAUGGCGGAAUUCCCAGUGUAGAGGUGAAAUUCGUAGAUAUUGGGAAGAACACCGGUGGCGAAGGCGGCCAUCUGGCCCGUAAUUGACGCUGAGGCGCGAAAGCGUGGGGAGCAAACAGG
rnacentral:rRNA from 1 species